rnacentral:rRNA from 1 species
GACGAACGCUGGCGGCGUGCUUAACACAUGCAAGUCGAACGGAAAGACCCUGCUUUUGUGGGUUGCUCGAGUGGCGAACGCGUGAGUAACACGUGAGUAUCCUGCCCUUAACUUUGGGAUAUCUUCAGGAAACUGGGGCGCAUACCGGGUAGGAUCUCCUGCUGCGUGGUGUGCGUUGGAGAGUGUCGGCGGUUGUGGAUGGACUCGCGGCUUAUGAGCUUGUUUGUCUAGUAGUGGCUUACCAAGGCUUUGACGGGUAGCCGGCCUGAGAGGUGGACCGGCCACAUUGGGACUGAGAGACGGCGCAGACGCCUACGGGAGGCAGCAGUGGGGAAUCUUGCACAACGGGCGGAAGCCUGAGGCAGCAACGCCGCGUUCGUGAUGACCUCUUUCGGGGUGUAAACCGCUUUCGCCGGUGACGAAGCGUGAGUGACGGUAACGGGUAAAGAAGCACCGGCUAACUACGUG